AAAGGGUUCACAAUAUUGUGUGGAUAGCAGACACUGACAAAUAAAUGAAAAAGGAGUUGGGCUGGGAGCACAUUCUGGAAAUCUAGAAGAUAACAUCCUUAUCUGAAACUCACACUGACAUUUGCACGAGAGAGACGCUUUGUGGCAGCUGAUGACAGAAGCUCAUUAAGAUGACAAAACCAUGAUUCUCUUUGCACUGCUGAUGUUCCAUGAACAUCAGAGGUUACGUUAGCUAUAGAAGCGUCAUGGAAAUCUCUGAACAGUGCUAAGGACUCCCGGACUCUCUAUCCUACAAAUCACUUGUUGUAACACAGCCAGGUCACCAGUAAAUACUUCCCAUUCCCAUGAUUCAAGGUUCAAGAUUUUCAACACAUUUAAAACCAGGAGCAUUGGUAUCCUUUAAUCUUACAAAUCUUUAAAGACAUUUUAUUCUAAGAAGAGCCAAAGGAAAACCCUCUGCAUUUCAAGAACUUCAUUUAGAUGUUUGAUUUUUUUUUUUUAAAUAUGAAUCACCCUACAAGUCUUGUAAAAUACUUGUGUGGAGAGACAACGACCUUUAAGUUUGAAGAAAGGAAUCUUAGAUGUCGCAAAGACCCCACUGAGCCAGUUUUGUUUUAAUUCUCUUUGCAUCAUAGUGUCUUAUUCAAGUCUGGGUUGCAAGAGAGAAGUUGAGUGCAUUUAUGGGUCAUUCUUGUCAGAGACAGAAAAAUACAGACAGCUGCAGAGAAGUGGGACCCAGGAUAACUGCAAUCACAAAUGGACCUCACUGAAAGAAGCGCUUGAACCACCAACCUCUUGUCCAAGCAGAAGAAAUGGAGGCAGACUGCAAAGUAGUUUUUAUGUGGAUGCAUAGCUUCCCUUUCAAAGAAACCACCUGUACCAAUUGACUUUCAAUUUUUCCCAACAUUGCUGCCUGUCCCUCUACAGUCUGGGUCUGGAACAACACCACAAGCUCAGACAAGAUAGAUGCGGUUCUGUUGACCUUACAAGCUGUUGAAAGUAUGGAACAAGGCUUGCAAGACAGUGAAGGAUUUAUACCUUCCUCCUAGUGAUUAAUUUGUUCUCAUGUUCUGGACUUUAAGGCCAGAUUUGAGAGGCAGCAUCAUUGGCUACUGUCCCCAAAACUUGUUCUGUCUCUAUUCCUCCUUCUUGUCCUCAUGAAAACCCUGUCCUCCCUAACAGAAAGUCAUUCAAUGCUAGUGCUUGGGGAAAACAUGGCCAGACUGGGAGGAGCAUGAGAGCUCUGUGGGAAACCCUGAAGGAAUUACAAUAGGGACAGAAUGGAAGGGGUGAGGAAGGGUUAGGGAACUCAAAAUUGGGUGCCACACAGCUACGUGGCCAGUCUGGCAGUUGCAACUAUCCUUUUCCUAGAUCUCAAAGAGGGCAUCCUAGAUUAACAUAAGGUGGACAUAAUACGUUAACUAGUUGCCAUGUCAUCUGUGCAGUGCUUGUAGCUCCGAAGGUGCUUGUGAUAAGAUAAAUCUGUCUGGAAGACUGCCAGCAAACAGCCAUUGCUAGAGAACAUUGGAAAUAGAAAGUGAACCCUACAGCCCAGCCGGCCAUGGAUAAGCUGUGUUUCUUUCCUGUGAUCCCAGCACUGGAUGAGAUGAUGCUAUGACACUUAAGUGGAUUGCAUUUGCUGAUAUUCGUCUCUUGAACCAUCCUUGCAUCUCUGGGACAGUCUACUGGAUCAUGAGAGAUAAUCUUUUUGAUGUAUUCUUGGCUUCAGUUUGCAAGUAUUUUAUUGAGUAUUUUUUACACCUAUGUUCAUUAUAGAAAUUGGUCCAUAGAGAGGACAGGGUUUUCAUGAGGACAAGAAGCAGGAAUGGAGACAGAACAAAUUUGGGGGCCAGUGGCCAGUGAUGCUAUCUCUCAAAUCUGUCCUUAAGGUCCAGAUCAUAAGCCCAAGUUGCUAUGAGUGUAAAUCCUUCAUUGUUGCACAAGCAAAGCUUUUUUUCUUUUUUCUUGACAGAAUCUUUAUGUAGUUUGGGUGUCAGGGUAACUGUGUGUUCUCAUUUCUGAAAAUUUAUAUCAUGUUCAGAAAGUCUUCAUGUUCCAAUUACUUAUUUUACUGUUUGUACAGUUUUUUUGAAGAUUUACAUUUAUAAAAUAUAUCUGG
rnacentral:lncRNA from 1 species